rnacentral:misc_RNA from 1 species
AACGCACAUUGCGCCUCCCGUUACUGGGAGGCAUGCCUGUCUGAGCGUCAUUUAAAACAUAGUACCCUGCCAGGGGGUCUGUCUUGGGCCUCGCCUGUGGGCGUAGCCUAAAAGCUAUCGGUCUAAAGAGCGGACGAGAUCCAUUGGGACUGACCGUUCUGUGACCUUAAACCUCUGACUUGACCUCAGAUCAGGUAGGGCUACCGCCUGAACUUAA